AGUGGGAGCGAGCCUGCUCGCGAUGGCGGUGUGUCAGUCGGUAGCUGUUUGGACUGAUGCACCGCCAUCGCGAGCAGGCUCGCUCCCACA
rnacentral:misc_RNA from 1 species